UGGGGAAUAUUGGACAAUGGGCGAAAGCCUGAUCCAGCCAUGCCGCGUGUGUGAAGAAGGUCUUCGGAUUGUAAAGCACUUUAAGUUGGGAGGAAGGGCAGUAAGCGAAUACCUUGCUGUUUUGACGUUACCGACAGAAUAAGCACCGGCUAACUCUGUGCCAGCAGCCGCGGUAAUACAGAGGGUGCAAGCGUUAAUCGGAAUUACUGGGCGUAAAGCGCGCGUAGGUGGUUCGUUAAGUUGAAUGUGAAAGCCCCGGGCUCAACCUGGGAACUGCAUCCAAAACUGGCGAGCUAGAGUAGGGCAGAGGGUGGUGGAAUUUCCUGUGUAGCGGUGAAAUGCGUAGAUAUAGGAAGGAACACCAUUGGCGAAGGCGACCACCUGGGCUCAUACUGACACUGAGGUGCGAAAGCGUGGGGAGCAAACAGG
rnacentral:rRNA from 1 species